AUUGAACGCUGGCGGCAGGCCUAACACAUGCAAGUCGAGCGGAGCGGCGGAAGGGUGAGUAAUGCCUAGGAAUCUGCCUGGUCGUGGGGGAUCAAGUCCGGAAACGGGCGCUAAUACCGCAUACUCUCAGAUGAGCCUAGGUCGGAUUAGCUAGUUGGUGGGGUAAAGGCCUACAAAGGCGACGAUCCGUAACGGGUCUGAGAGGAUGAUCAGUCACACUGGAACUGAGACACGGCCCAGACUCCUACGGGAGGCAGCAGUGGGGAAUAUUGGACAAUGGGCGAAAGCCUGAUCCAGCCAUGCCGCGUGUGUGAAGAAGGUCUUCGGAUUGUAAAGCACUUUAAGUUGGGAGGCGUUACCAACAGAAGAAGCACCGGCUAACUCCGUGCCAGCAGCCGCGGUAAUAC
rnacentral:rRNA from 1 species